rnacentral:rRNA from 1 species
UCGAGGAUCAUUCGCAAUGGGCGCAAGCCUGACGAUGCGACGCUGCGUGGAGGAUGAAGGCCUUCGGGUUGUAAACUCCUGUCAUUCGGGAACAAUAAAACGGUCAUUAACACUGGCUGAGAUUGAUAGUACCGGAAGAGGAAGCCACGGCUAACUCUGUGCCAGCAGCCGCGGUAAUACAGAGGUGGCAAGCGUUGUUCGGAUUUACUGGGCGUAAAGGGUGCGUAGGUGGUAUUGUGUGUCGGGCGUGAAAGCUCACCGCUCAACGGUGAAAUGUCGCCCGAAACUACAAAACUGGAGUGCAGGAGAGGAGAGCGGAAUACUUGGUGUAGCGGUGGAAUGCGUUGAGAUCAAGUAGAACACCGGUGGCGUAGGCGGCUCUCUGGAAUGUUACUGACAC